rnacentral:rRNA from 1 species
CCUACGGGUGGCAGCAGCAAGGAAUCUUCCGCAAUGGGCGAAAGCCUGACGGAGCAACGCCGCGUGUGGGAUGACGCCUUUCGGGGUGUAAACCACUUUUCUCAGGGAAGCGGUACCUGAGGAAUAAGGACCGGCUAACUACGUGCCAGCAGCCGCGGUAAUACGUAGGGUCCGAGCGUUGUCCGGAGUUACUGGGCGUAAAGCGCGCGCAGGCGGCGGUGUAAGCAUGGCGUGAAAGCCCCAGGCUCAACCUGGGAGGGUCGUCGUGGACUGCACCGCUUGAGGGCGAUAGGGGCUGGUGGAAUGCCUGGUGUAGUGGUGAAAUGCGUAGAGAUCAGGCGGAACACCCGUGGCGAAGGCGGCCAGCUGGUCUCCCUGACGCUGAGGCGCGAAGGCGUGGGGAGCGAACGGGAUUAGAUACCCUAGUAGUC